GCUAUGACCCAAAAUGGUUCCUUCAUCUGUUCGAGAAAGAGAGAGGAUGCAGGAUAUCUUUACUACAUUUUCAAAGGCACAUAUGAAGAAGAACCCUAUCAGAAGUGAUCCUGCUGUUCUCUGUCCUCCCUGAAGUUGUACUCCAAACAGGUCUACCACUUGGCUUGAAUGGCAGAUCUUGAGGAAAAAAACUACCAGAUUUUAUUCCAAGACAGUGUUGAAACAAAGCACCACGUCUGACUUUGUACAGAUAGUUCCUUUUGCCCAGCUAGCAACCUCUUUUUUAUCUUGGGGCCCAUUCAGACAUCCAUGGAAGGUUUGUGUGACCUGGAAAAAGUGGAAGCCUAUUCAAAAAUACCAAGAUUUUUGUUUAAUAACUUCACUACCUCCAGGUGCAGUUGGUUGAUUUAUCAGCAGAACCCUUCUCUCAUGUACAAAGUCUGUAAGGGAAAUAAGGUUUACAGUAAUAUGUUCAAUCUCAUACUAUGGAAGAGGAGGUAACAAGAGCCCAAAAGCUGAGAGGAUUGUUCGGGGAUUCCUGGCCUUUGGGGAGGGAUGGACAGAUGUCAGACAGCAGGACAGCUCUGGACGAAGAUACAGAAGAGCUAGAUCCCAUGGAGGGGUACCUGACAAGGACAAAGCUCAGGAGCCGUGUCUGCUGAGAGAGGGGCAAAGCACAGGGAAACACAGGAUGGGAUAAAAAUAAAAGUAAAUCCUUGAGAGAAAAAAAAAAUUACUUAAUGACUUUUGAAUAGUGCUAAAAAAGCUUCCUAGUGCACUCAGAGAUUGAGAGAAAUCAGAGACAUCCUGUUAGUUGCCUCUGUUUUUGUUACAUAUUAAUGAUUUGGGAUAUUCACACCACAAACUGCAAUGUUGUUUUAUCUGGAGUGCAAAUCAGAGUAGAACAAGCUGCUGAAAAGAGGCUGAGAGUACCAUAACAAUCUCAUCUGGUGGCCUUCAUAACAUGCAAAAAGCACGUCAUAACUUUCAGUUACAGGGGUGCAAAUAACUAAAUGUCAUUUACAUUGUUGCUCUGGAGUUCCUGUGGGUUACUCUCAAGGGUUUGCUUUAAUCGUUUGGAAAUGCUGAUUGUUCUCUGAGCGAUGCUAAACAUGACUUGCCUGAAAAGAAAUUGGCCUGUUGUACUGCAGGGUGAUAUUUUUAUUUGUUAGGAGAAGCGUGUUGGUAUUGAGAUGUUUGCAUGUAGGACGGUGAGGAAAAACACCACCAGAAAGCCUGCACCUGCAAUACUUCACUAGUAAAUUGACCACAUGAGGCAUGAGGCCAAAAAUAUCAAUGAAGAUUCAGUGCAUGCAGUGGAAACAAAAAGGAAUAAAUGUUAAACCCUGAUUCUGCUAGGAAUAUUUGCAUUAUGUACUAAUUAGGUAAACAAAACCAGGUACAGAAUCAAGUGAAGAAAGAGCCAUCGUGAAGGUCUCCUCUCCACUGACACCAUGAACAAGCAACAACAGCUUCUGUCAACAAAGGGAGAAGCCAUAACAACACCGUAUUUUUUUUGGUACAGAGUGAUGUCCAUGUUCACAUGCUAAUCACUGGAGCAAUUACUGUUGUUCACAUCUCCAUUUCAUUUCCUUGGCUGAGCACUCCUGGGAUUUUGGACUGUGAUUUCAUUAUUCACUUGGCUCUGCCAUUUGUAUUGUGUACCUGCUCCAGUAGAUAUCAUCAACUCUUAAUACUCCUGCGCUAUGCAGAACAAAUCAUUUGCAUUUGAGUAGGUCGCUAUGGCUACUGGCUACCUAACUGUGUACUGCAUCUGUAAAAGCCAAAAACUUUGCAGAAUUCAGACAAGGAUCAGCUGUUCACUAUUUGAAAUCGUAUCCACACCCAUUGUUGUUCCUAACAGCGCAUACUUUGUAGGGUUGAUUAGGUACAAUCUCUCUCUUCCUAUUUUGGAUUAAUGUUUAGAGAGUCUCUUUCUCAGGGCUGCAGGCUGACUCCAAAGGAAGAAAAAAAUGUCUCUAGAGGACACCUGCAUGACAGUGGGCAGAUUAAUUAUACCUGCAGUGGUUCAAGGUGUGGCAUAAACCCUAAAGGUUUUCCAUUAAAAUUAAUUCUUUGUUGUUUGAAAAUACAAAUUCCUGCUGGAGUUGUCCAAAAUAAAUCUGGUAAUUUAUGCUGUAGUAGUUUUCAGACUACAGAAAAACUCCUUAGCUGGGACUAACACAGAAGGUGCCCGCUCAGUAGGAUCCCAGUCUUUAACUUGCAGAGGUUCAUUCAGAAAUACUAACCCUAGUGCUUUGUUCUGUUCCCUACAUGAAUCACAAAGGCAGGGAAACAGUAUUAUCCCCAGUAAAGAAAAUGGUGAACACUGAAACAAAGCGACUCCAGAAGGAGAGAGUGAGUCAGCAUCAAAGUCUGGACCAAAACUCAAGUUUGCCAACUUGGACCCCUCUCCUCAGAGUUGAGCACAAAUGGAGAAAACAUCUCUGCGAAAGCACUGGCUGUAGCAUUGUACUGAAAGAAUCCGCCUGAGGAACCAUCCCUAAUAUGAAUAAAAUACUGCGGACAAUUGGACUAAUAACAAUAAUUUUUGUUGGUGCGGAUGAAAUAAGUUUCCAGGAUCAGAAAUUCACUGAACAUUGGUAAAAUGCAUGUAUUCUGUAAAACCACUUGCACAUAUUCAGAGACAUCUGGCAAUGCCAUGAGUGCAUCCAUGCCACAGGCUGCCUGUUCCCCCUUCAGGAACCAUGUACAAGUCCUCCCCUUACAGCUCUCUGCUGAGAGAUCCAUGGGAACAUCAAAGGGAAGUUUAUUGCUUAAAAUUAAUCAAACACUGUUCCAAAGACUGUACCACCUUUGUUUCCCCCAGCAAACAACUUAAAUUGCCUUUUUUUUUUUUUUUUUUUUUGGGGGGGGGCACUGGAGAAUUUCAAAAUCUCCUUCUUUCCUCUUCAUCAAAAGAACAGACUGUUUUCCAGGAGAAAUCAUACAUCUGACCUGACCACGCGCUGCUCUGGUAAGCGUGGCAGCAACACACAGGUGGGGUGAAAUAGCCAUUCACUUAUUUACCACUGAAUUUCAUUAUGUUAUGAAGCAGGCUGAGGUGUUUUAUUGUCUACUGUAGAAUAAUAUCAGCAUUUGUGGGUAAGGUCCACUUCACAGAAUCACAGAAUCCCAGGCUGGAAGGGACCUCAGGGAUCAUCUAGUCCAACCUUUCUAGGAAGAGCACAGUCUAGACAAGCUUCAUGAAUAUUCAAUGAGAAAUUGUAUGGCUGAACAAUGUUUCCCUAUGUGUAAUAUAUUAAAAUAAAAAGGCUGUAAAAUAAUAUUAGACAUCAUUUGCACACAAAGAUCCACAGGCAGAGCACAGAAGUGGCCAAAAAAUGAAACCUGACAUGCAUGUUUUGUCAUCAUUUUGGAAGUUAUCACAUUAAGACUGAAUAACAAAGCUCAGAAAUUAAAGGGAAAAUCAUAUCUGAACAUAGUUUGUGAUUAUUUGCUCAAAGCAUUUUAUUAGAUUUGAAUGUAAGCCCUACCAUUUUGUGAUCCAACCUGUACUGCUUUCUUCUUCAGGAAGACGAUUUCCCUUGUUUGCUCUGUUGUGAGGUGGUAGUAGUCUUCAUGGUACUCCAGCUAUGGCGGCUUCCAAGGCCUGGUGUGCCCCACUCUCAGCCACAGGCAAAAGGGACUUCCUACCUGCCUGCCUGGCCACCGUGAGGAAGGAAGCGCGCUUGGCUCAUCCAGAGAAGCAGCAGCUGAAAUACUGUUUGAUUUCAGCACUGGGAAGAAGUGAUUACAAAGGACCACCAAGCCAACUUAUAAUACAAGGGCUACACAAAUCUAUUUUGGUUUUCUGUCCAUCCCAUCUGGAAGCCUAUGGGUUUUUUUUCAGAACUUGCAAAGCUUCCUUCUGAUUGCCUCCAUUGUUUCUGCAAAGAAUUGUUUUUGAACGACCUCCAUCAGCUUUAGGAGGAUGUUGCUUAUUUGCAACUGCGGCGCUGCCUUUCCACUGGCUGAGUUUAGAAGCCAACUGGUUAGAAACAUUUGCGCAGCAAAUCCUUCCCUAACCCCUCAAAGCCAUGUGAUCAUUACCCUAAUAAGCAGAUAACAGUAUUAAA